rfam:Rhizobiales bacterium 62-47 SCNpilot_cont_300_bf_scaffold_6, whole genome shotgun sequence.
CGAGCCGCGGUUUGGGAGAGCUUGCGGUUCGCGGGAUCGGGAUCGGCCUUGGGAGGGCGGAUCACGAUCCAAUCAGGGGAGAUUGACCGAUGGAGAAUGCACUCCUCAUCGGAUUGUCACGACAGGUGACGCUGG